CUGAGACACGGUCCAGACUCCUACGGGAGGCAGCAGUGGGGAAUAUUGUGCAAUGGGGGAAACCCUGACACAGCGACGCCGCGUGAGUGAAGAAGGCCUUCGGGUCGUAAAGCUCAAUAGUAUGGGAAGAAAGAAAUGACGGUACCAUACGAAAGCCCCGGCUAACUACGUGCCAGCAGCCGCGGUAAUACGUAGGGGGCGAGCG
rnacentral:rRNA from 1 species